AUGUACAUGCCUACAACAUAGCGUUAAUGCACCGGAUCCCAUUAGAACUCCGUAGUUAAGCGCACUCAGGCUAGAGUAGUACUGGGAUGGGUGAUCGCUCGGGAAGUCCUAGUGUUUUACAUU
rnacentral:rRNA from 1 species